rnacentral:rRNA from 1 species
UACAGAGGUCUCAAGCGUUGUUCGGAUUCAUUGGGCGUAAAGGGUGCGUAGGCGGCGCGGUAAGUCGGGUGUGAAAUCUCGGAGCUUAACUCCGAAACUGCAUUCGAUACUGCCGUGCUUGAGGACUGGAGAGGAGACUGGAAUUUACGGUGUAGCGGUGAAAUGCGUAGAUAUCGUAAGGAAGACCAGUGGCGAAGGCGGGUCUCUGGACAGUUCCUGACGGCUGGAGGCACGAAGGCCAGGGGAGCAAAACGGG